rnacentral:lncRNA from 1 species
AUGGGUUUGGAUCUGAGGAAGGAUCUUGCUCUAGUCUCCUGCUUUGUAGAGGUUUGUUGUAUACAAUGUGAGCAAGUAGCAUUUUUUGAAGUGGUUAAACAUAAACAAUCAAGAAUUUCCCCUUCCUGCCAAGGCAGUUGGAGCAGAAGAAUAAUCUUCAGCUCAGGCUUUGGACCUGACAUGUUAGCUGGUUGGAUUCUCGAUCCUUUCAGUGUGUGUUUCAUGCGGGAGGAUAUGGCUCAAACAGAUGUAGCUCUUUCUAAGCUUGACUUGCCUGAAAGGCUCCUCAUAAACAUCCAAAUACCAAUUACCCAAAAUUUGCUUAUCAUCCACCAGCAAGUGUUGGCUAAUUUGAAGCCAUAACAUUUUCUAUAUGGAAGUUUUUUUGUUUGCCUGUAGAUAGCUGCUGUUUUAGCCUGGUUGAGAUCUCCAUGUGUUUGUAGUUUCCCUGUUGUCCCUUUUGCCCAGCCUGACACAGAAGUUGCCUGGGGCUUGCAGUCCUCACUGUGUCAGCAGCGCAUUGUCCCUGUAUCAGCAGGAGCCUGCAGGCUUGUGGCACAUGCUGUGCAGUGCUCAGAAGACUAGUGCUGAGUGCUUACAGGCGGUGCGAUGCUAUUUCUGCCUGGCAACAGGAGGAAGACCUGUCCUUCAGUGACAAAUAAGAAGCUAAGCCUUUUGACUCAGCAACACAGGAUGCAGAAGGGAAAUCCUGAUGUUAGGUCAGAGCUGAGGACUCUGGAGCAGCAGUUGGUGCUCAUCUGCAAAAUCUCACUGCCCUGGAGCCAGCCCUACCCCUACCACUGUGAUGGCUGAACAAUUGAGAGAAGAAAUGCUGCCUAACACCCCUAUGCCCUGGGCGCUGCUCCCAACCAUGUCUGUGAACAGCAAUGUGGCAGGAGUUCCUUUGGAGGCUCAGUGACAGCCAGUCCUUGUUAGACCUGGGCAAGGUUUACCAUCAGCUGGUUGCCCGCUGCUGUGACCUGUGUCUAGUCUUGUGUCUUGUAGUUUAUUGCUCGGCUCCUCACCUUGAGUUCUGUGUACUGAAUCCACCUAAUCACAGUAGAAGGUUUGCCCAUCUUUUAGCCAUGACUUUGCCAUGUUUUUCCAGCUCCAAAAAAGCAAAUGCUGGAAAACUGCAUCUUCCAAUACGUUGGAUAAUCACACACCUGGAAUUAACUUUCACACUGAGGUAAGGUUAACUGACCUGUUCUCUGUCAUCCCAUGGAGAAACUUCCCCAGUCAUUUUGUACCAUUAUAUAAAUAUAUAUAUAUAAAUAUAAAUAUAUAAAUACAAUAUGUGAAGACAUCUUAUUGGUUUUUAUUUGAAACAAUUUUUAGGCUUGUUUUGGGUAUCUGUGCUGCCUGUAAUGUAUUGACCUGUUUUAUAGGUGCCUUUUUAUUAAAAAGACAAAUUACAAGACCUGACCCUGUGCCUGUAUUUUUCCGCAUGAUUUUCCACAGGACUGCAGCAGAGACAGAGAGUGCGAGAUGUGCUGGAAGGACUGCGUGGGCAUUGGGGCAGCCCCUUCUCUGUAGCACUCCCAGGCACAUAUUCAUUCAUGCGUUCACUUACUUGCACUCACCCAUGCAUGCUCCACUGCCUGCCACGGCCCUGUGAUCACUGUGUAUGCAUAGCAGGAUGCUCUGCUGGAACCCCAGCUCUGUCUCCUGGGAGACUUGGCUGGCCUGCAGGAAAUGCAGAGCAGGGUGCUGUUGUGAGGGUCUUUGUGUUCCCAUCUUUGGAGUUGCCUUCAUCAGAGACCAGGGCUUCCUCUGAUUUGUCUGCUGGAGCCUUGUUUGCAGAGCACAGUCCGGGGCUGGAGGUGCAGAGGGUGUGCUGUGGAUGGCGGUGACAUCACCUUCCCACGCAUAAUCUCCCUACUUUCUGCAGGAGCCACCUUGAAGCUCCCCUUGGCUCAGUCCCCCUUCCCGGUGGCCUGGGUGGGCAGAGUGCACCUGCCUCACUUGGCAGCCAUGGCAUAGGGGCUGAGCAGAACUCCACUGGGGAGGAUGAAGGUUUGCCUGAGGGCUGCAGGGGUGGCUUUGACAGUGUGGGUACUUAGCAGGGAAGCCUACUCUGAGGCAAGGUGCUGUGACAGCCAUGCAAACCUUGAUGAGAUAGCAAGGAUUUUGCUAAGUGGAAAGCAGAGCUUCUUCUGCAGUGAAGGAAAGUUCCUCUUACUUUCUUCUUGUCACCAUUCAGCAGGCUGGCUGCAGGUAGCUGUGGGAAGAACAAUCGCAACUCUUUGGGGAAGGUCUGCCAGCUCUGAGCCAAGCCAUUCCCAGGCUGUCUGGGCCAAAUGUAGGUGUAAGGGCAGUUAGGUUAGCAGCUGCUAUAAAACUGGGGCAGGAGGAAUUAGGAAUUAGUGGAAGAGGCUCCAUAAAGCAGAGAGGUCAUACAGGUCUGGACUGACUCUGAACACAGCAGAGCCUUCUGUGGCACUGGUGAAGGGGAAUCUGAGCAAGGUGCUCCUCUAAGCCCUUUGAGCAGAGCUUGUCAGAAAGGUGCCAUCUGCCCACUUAGUUCUCUCUGAUGCAUCUUCCUUGAAUAAAGUGACACAGUUACAGACA